rnacentral:tRNA from 1 species
UACCAAAGGAUAAUAGUAUUCCACUGGUNUUAGGC